rnacentral:rRNA from 1 species
UACGUAGGCAGCGAGCGUUGUUCGGAGUUACUGGGCGUAAAGGGUGUGUAGGCGGUUGUUUAAGUUUGGUGUGAAAUCUCCCGGCUCAACUGGGAGGGGUCAUUCGAUACUGGCGGGCUCGAGGCCGGUAGGGGGAAGCGGAAUUCCCGGUGUAGUGGUGGAAUGCGUAGAUAUCGGGAGGAACACCAGUGGCGAAGGCGGCUUCCUGGGACCGGUUCUGACACUGAGGAGCGAAAGCGUGGGGAGCGAUCCGG